rnacentral:rRNA from 1 species
UACAGAGGGUGCGAGCGUUAAUCGGAAUUACUGGGCGUAAAGCGUGCGUAGACGGUUAUUUAAGUCGGGUGUGAAAGCCCCGGGCUCAACCUGGGAAUUGCAUUCGAGACUGAAUAGCUAGGGUACGGUAGAGGGAAGUGGAAUUUCCGGUGUAGCGGUGAAAUGCGUAGAUAUCGGAAGGAACAUCAGUGGCGAAAGCGACUUCCUGGACCAGUACCGACGUUCAGGCACGAAAGCGUGGGUAGCAAACAGG